rnacentral:rRNA from 1 species
AGUGAACGCUGGCGGUAGGCCUAACACAUGCAAGUCGAACGGCAGCACAGGAGAGCUUGCUCUCUGGGUGGCGAGUGGCGGACGGGUGAGGAAUACAUCGGAAUCUACUCUGUCGUGGGGGAUAACGUAGGGACACUUACGCUAAUACCGCAUACGACCUACGGGUGAAAGCAGGGGACCUUCGGGCCUUGCGUGAUUGAAUGAGCCGAUGUCGGAUUAGCUAGUUGGCGGGGUAAAGGCCCACCAAGGCGACGAUCCGUAGCUGGUCUGAGAGGAUGAUCAGCCACACUGGAACUGAGACACGGUCCAGACUCCUACGGGAGGCAGCAGUGGGGAAUAUUGGACAAUGGGCGCAAGCCUGAUCCAGCCAUACCGCGUGGGUGAAGAAGGCCUUCGGGUUGUAAAGCCCUUUUGUUGGGAAAGAAAUCCAGCUGGCUAAUACCCGGUUGGGAUGACGGUACCCAAAGAAUAAGCACCGGCUAACUUCGUGCCAGCCGCCGCGGUAA